rnacentral:rRNA from 1 species
GUGGGGAAUAUUGGACAAUGGGCGAAAGCCUGAUCCAGCCAUGCCGCGUGUGUGAAGAAGGUCUUCGGAUUGUAAAGCACUUUAAGUUGGGAGGAAGGGCAGUAAGUUAAUACCUUGCUGUUUUGACGUUACCGACAGAAUAAGCACCGGCUAACUUCGUGCCAGCAGCCGCGGUAAUACGAAGGGUGCAAGCGUUAAUCGGAAUUACUGGGCGUAAAGCGCGCGUAGGUAGUUUUGUAAGUUGGAGGUGAAAUCCCCGGGCUCAACCUGGGAACUGCCUCCAAAACUGCAUGACUAGAGUACGGUAGAGGGUAGUGGAAUUUCCUGUGUAGCGGUGAAAUGCGUAGAUAUAGGAAGGAACACCAGUGGCGAAGGCGACUACCUGGACUGAUACUGACACUGAGGUGCGAAAGCGUGGGGAGCAAACAGGAUUAGAUACCCCGGUAGUCC